CUACGUGCCAGCAGCCGCGGUAAUACGUAGGUGGCAAGCGUUGUCCGGAAUUAUUGGGCGUAAAGCGCGCGCAGGCGGAUUGGUCAGUCUGUCUUAAAAGUUCGGGGCUUAACCCCGUGAUGGGAUGGAAACUGCCAAUCUAGAGUAUCGGAGAGGAAAGUGGAAUUCCUAGUGUAGCGGUGAAAUGCGUAGAUAUUAGGAAGAACACCAGUGGCGAAGGCGACUUUCUGGACGAAAACUGACGCUGAGGCGCGAAAGCCAGGGGAGCGAACGGGAUUAGAUACCCCGGUAGUCCUGGCCGUAAACGAUGGGUACUAGGUGUAGGAGGUAUCGACCCCUUCUGUGCCGGAGUUAACGCAAUAAGUACCCCGCCUGGGGAGUACGGCCGCAAGGCUAAAACUCAAAGAAAUUGACGGGGGCCCGCACAAGCGGCGGAGCAUGCGGAUUAAUUCGAUGCAACGCGAAGAACCUUACCAAGGCU
rnacentral:rRNA from 1 species